rnacentral:rRNA from 1 species
AUUGAACGCUGGCGGCAUGCCUUACACAUGCAAGUCGAACGGUAACAGGUCUUCGGAUGCUGACGAGUGGCGAACGGGUGAGUAAUACAUCGGAACGUGCCUAGUAGUGGGGGAUAACUACUCGAAAGAGUGGCUAAUACCGCAUGAGAUCUACGGAUGAAAGCAGGGGAUCGCAAGACCUUGUGCUACCAGAGCGGCCGAUGGCAGAUUAGGUAGUUGGUGGGAUAAAAGCUUACCAAGCCGACGAUCUGUAGCUGGUCUGGGAGGACGAUCAGCCACACUGGGACUGAGACACGGCCCAGACUCCUACGGGAGGCAGCAGUGGGGAAUUUUGGACAAUGGGCGCAAGCCUGAUCCAGCAAUGCCGCGUGCAGGAUGAAGGCCUUCGGGUUGUAAACUGCUUUUGUACGGAACGAAAAGCCCUGGGUUAAUACCCUGGGGUCAUGACGGUACCGUAAGAAUAAGCACCGGCUAACUACGUGCCAGCAGCCGCCGUAACAC